rnacentral:rRNA from 1 species
GUACACUCCUGCGGGAGGCAGCAGUGGGGAAUUUUGGACAAUGGGCGAAAGCCUGAUCCAGCAAUGCCGCGUGAGUGAAGAAGGCCUUCGGGUUGUAAAGCUCUUUUGUCAGGGAAGAAACGGUGAAAGCUAAUAUCUUUUGCUAAUGACGGUACCUGAAGAAUAAGCACCGGCUAACUACGUGCCAGCAGCCGCGGUAAUACGUAGGGUGCAAGCGUUAAUCGGAAUUACUGGGCGUAAAGCGUGCGCAGGCGGUUUUGUAAGUCUGAUGUGAAAUCCCCGGGCUCAACCUGGGAAUUGCAUUGGAGACUGCAAGGCUAGAAUCUGGCAGAGGGGGGUAGAAUUCCACGUGUAGCAGUGAAAUGCGUAGAUAUGUGGAGGAACACCGAUGGCGAAGGCAGCCCCCUGGGUCAAGAUUGACGCUCAUGCACGAAAGCGUGGGGAGCAAACAGGAUUAGAAACCCGAGUAGUCCCAUGAU